UGGCUGAGCGCAGUGGCAAACGCCUCUAAUCCUAGCACUUUGGGAGGCCAAGGCGGGUGGAUCACUUGAGGUCAGGAGUUUAAGACCAGCCUGGCCAACAUGCUGAAACCCCAUCUCUACCAAAAAUACAAAAAUUAGCCGGGCAUGGUGGUGCGUGCCUGUGGUCCCAGCUACCCAGGAGGCUGAGGCAAGAGAAUCGCUGGAACCCAGGAGGCAGAGUCUGCAGUGAGCCAAGAUUGUGCCACUGCACUCCAGCCUGGGCAACAGAGUAAGACUCCGUCUCAAAAAAAAAAGUCAUCUUUUCUGAUAAUGAAGAAUAUUUUCCUUCUUAUACACCCUUAGUUUAGAAAUGUGGAGAGGCGUGUUUUCCCAUAAAGAACAAGCCUGUUAAUAUUUGUUGGUUGCUGAUAUUAUACAGUCCUGGUGAAUUUUUCCUCUUCAUUGCUAGAUCCAGCCCCCAAAGAAGAGGUAUGAUUGUCCUGAAACUACGAUACUUUGAAGGAACUCUGAGAGAGCCACUUGGAGAGGCUACAUGAGGGAGUACAAAAGGGCUCUAAAUGACAGCCCCAUGUAAAAUCCCAGCCUAUAGCAAGGACCAACUGCCACCAUCGUACACAUUCCAAAUCAGUUGAACCUCCAGUGAGCCAUCUUGGAUAUUUCAAACCACUGGAGCCUUCAGGUGACUGAGGUUAUAGCUCCCACCACAUAGAGAACUACCUAGGUGAGGCCAACUAAAUCACAGACUCAUGAACAGCAAUAAAUACUUGUUACUGAUUGAAGCCAUUCAGUUAUGGGUGUCUGAUACCAUCCACUGAGCAAUCUUAAAAUCUUGACAGACAUUAGAGUGCACAUGAUAAGACAAAAUUUAAACUAUACAAUACCAUCAUGUAAUAUACUCUGAAAAAAAAAUCAGUUUCCUAGAUCUCACAAUUAGUUCACAGGAGAUACAGAGAGGGAGAACUAAGUUAACAUAAAAAGUCCAGUGAGCAAGGCAGGUAGCACAGACCCCGAGCAAUCAGCCUAGUAGCUGUGUCUGUGUGAUGCAGAGGCACUAAGUUGGGAGGUCCCAAGGCAGCAGCAGAAGCAAUAGUGGUGGCAAACAGUGGCCACAGCCUGGGGAGCAGCACAGGGAUCUGGGUGGAAGGCUGGCCAGUCUGUCCAUCUUGGACCUUGUUCCUGUGGUGCCUGCAUAAUUAUUAACUCUUUGGCAUGAGCUCCAGGACAGGGACUGUGGUUGCUCAGGAAGUAAAGUUUCUUAGUAAACUAUUACAAAAUAACAGCGUACACAUGGGCAUUGCAAUCAAGUAUAUUGGAGUUAUUAGGAUUUAGGAUUCCCCCAAAAGUUCAGAAUGUCCAGUUUUGAACACUGUUGCAUCAGUGCCAAGAAAACACCCACAGGUUUAGAAAGAGAACUGAAACUCAAAGAUUAUCCAAUUUAACAGACUAUUUUUAUAUGAGGCUUUUGAUAAACCACUUAUUCAUAAAACAAUUUGAG
rnacentral:lncRNA from 1 species